CACCUUCCACUUUAUGAAGCUUACAUAUCUUAUUUUUUGGAGGCACUUGGGUGUUGCAUAUGCAACUAAAUACUUGAAAUCGGGAUCCUAAAUGGUGAAUUCACGUCCAACACCAACAACAAGUCUUCUCCUAGUUCGAAAUCAUUGCAGGAGGAAACACUUUCUACCAAUGGGACGCUGGUUGACGACGUGACCGCAUGUUUCUGGUGGCGACGAGUCGGGAAGCGUGUCUUCUUCUCCACUGGCCGAUCAGUGCAGCAUGGUAGAGGAGAAGUGCUGUUUUAAAUGUGAUUGAGCGCUCUCUCAAUCCGCUUGUAGAUUGCAUCAAUCUUCCUCCUCCUUCGGAGCAUUAAUUGGUUGAAUACAUGGAGUCCUCCGAGUGGUUGGGUGUCGAAGGCGAGAGCAUCCACCGGGCGGUGGCCGCCUCGGCGCCUUGUUCUGGUGGUGGGUUCGA